GAAGUGCGAUAAGUGUCAUGACUUGCAGAUCCCCGAGAGCUGACAAAUUUCUGAAUGCAAAUGGCGGCCAACUCGCUUGGUCAUGUAUUGCAGAGUGUAGUUGUUCAUACUCAUCAUCCUCCUUCAACCUCUGUGUUGGGGAAGGGAUCUGCGCUUGUGAGUAGUACUUGCGAGCGUGAAAAUUCAGAGUGGGUGUCCGUCUCUUCACGGAGAAGGGCGCCCAACUUCGGAAGUACACCAUCUGUUCUUUAGAAGUUGACUCGAUCCUCUGUUACUAUACAAUUCUACCUCUGCAAUGCAGGAAAACCCGCUGAACUUAA
rnacentral:misc_RNA from 1 species